UUUUCCUCCAGCCGUCAGAAAACCUGCUCUUAACCACUGUCCCAGCUCCACGUGAGCUGCUCCUACUGCAUACGCCAAGUCAGUAUGGAUGUUCACUGCCUUCCCAGCUGUAAUGCUCUUAUCAAUGCGAGUACCUCAGCUCUUUGAGCUGACUGACUUCCCUGAAGUUUUUCUGCUCCCAGAACCUCUGUUCACGCGUUCGCCAAAUCAAUGCAAGUGAACCAUUGCUGUUGUGGUGUCAGACUAGUCAAUACAGUGUACGGGUUUGGGACAGGUACUGUAGUGGUUACCAGUCUGUCAUUUAUCUUUCUGAGGUCAUGUGCCAUGCGAUAUUUACCAGUCCCUGUCUUUUCUACAGGAAGAAUGAGGGCUCCAAUACACCUGAUUUGAUGAGGCCCUCGAUAGUUUCUUUGAUCCCUUCUUCAGCGGCUGGCUUGUGAGGGUAUUGGGGUUUGCCAAAUGGGAGGACCGUCAUGAACUUCAGAUGUCACUGGUUUACAUGCAUUACAAAAACCUACGUCAGUCGGACCUUCUGACCAGAGGUAGUCUGGAAGUUUCUCAAGAAGGGUUGCUGUGCAGGGAUGGUCGGUCUUUUCGCGUCCGUGGUCUCUGGACACCUGUUCGUGUGUUACAAUAACAGAGUUAGUUGCUUUCCCUGUAAUCCUGUACAUUUUAGCGGAGGGAGAAAAACAAACAUCAGGCAGUUGAGUGCAUUCCCAGUCGUCUAGCAGCAUCGCCUGUUUCGUCAUUAGACCUAGGUCUUUAGCCUGAUGUUUGGGAUGCAAAGCCAACGACACAUGCGGCACUGCAUCUUGAUUCAUUAAAUACCAUUUUGAUUGAUCGGAGGAGAGGAUGACAGCUGGGGCUACCCUUUCUGGGCCCACAUAGAGAUUUUGGGACGUCACCUCCCAUUCAGUGUUUUCUAAAUAUUCCAGGAAUUCGUCACAAUAGCACUCAUCCCCUUGUCUAUCAUAAAACAAUGCUACAGGAGGAGGAUCUGGAGGAGGAACAUACGGAUCAAGAAGAGUUAUCCAAGGCUUCCACUUUUGAACCGUUCCAUCCAUCAUGGUGACGCUUAGUCCGUCUGGGCUGCACAAGAUCGAAGCCCCCGUCUUAAGAAGAUCCCUUCCAAUAAGAUUCACUGGAACUUGAGGCGAAAUAACAAAAGAAUGAGUCAAUGUCUGAUUUCCUACUUUCACCAGUAGGGGGACUGCUAGAGGCAGUUUCUGUGACACCCUGGAGAACCCCACAACGCUGACGCUAUCUCCGGACAUAGCAGACGAGCCCACUGCCGGUAUGGUGGAGUAUGUGGCCCCAGUGGCAACGGCAACGACAACGGCAGUUGUUGUUGUAGUACCGUGAGUGACAGCAUGGGGUCUGCCCUGCCCCUGCUGUCCGGGUCUCUCCCGGAGGUGUGUCACUGAGAGGCAUCUGCCUCAUAGCCCCAGUCCUCCAGUGUGGGGUACUGUCCUCUAGGGGGCGGUGCAGCAUGUGCGUUGGGAGCCCAUGCUUCUUGGGGUGGGACACCUCUACCCCUACCCUGUCUUACUUUACUAGGACACUCCUUAACCUGGUGCCCCUCCAUACCACAGUGGAAACAACCUCUUCCCCAUCUGCGUCCGCCUCUUCCUCCUCCCCCUGUGUAUGGACCUCCUCAACGCGCUCCUCCCCAGCAGUUACCUCCAUAGCCUCCCCUGUAACCCCACCCUCGGGCUGUCCCAUACAACGUCUCCUCCCAUGGUGGGAGUGGAUACAAAUCAGGGACGUUACCUCCAGCUGGGGCAGCCUGUGCAACCAUCUGUCGCUCGUCUUUCCCUUUCUGCUUCUUGUCGCUCACUUCCUGUCUUACUUUGGUGGUUUAUCUUCCCCUGUCGCUUCUUCUGUCGUGUCUUGUAAAUGGUGUAGCAAAUUUCUCUCCCACACAGCAGAGUCACUACCUGGCAGGUCUGGGUUAGUGAUCAUUUUGGCUUUCACACUCUCUGGUACGCCCUCCAGUACCGCCUGUCUAAACCAUUCCCUGUGCACUCCCGCAGUGCCUGGGUGAUGACCUGUGUGUUUCACCCAUGUUUCCUUACAUUCGUCCUAAUAAGCGCGCAGUGUUUUUCCCCUCCCAAAAAAAAAAGUCUAUUUGUUCUAAUAAUUUUUCAUCAUAUUUUAAAUCCUUGAUUCAAGUGUUACACUUUAAAAGGCAGGGUUGACUGGGUCGUCGUGGCGCAGGGGUUAGAGAAUGUGUGCUGGGAAGCACAAGGUUGGUGGUUCGAUUCCAGACUGCCCCAUGUUCCAUGUUGAAGUGUCCCUGAGCAAGACACCUAACUCCUAAUUGCUACCCGGGCAAAAAUGUGAAAAAAGCCAUGGGUUUAAAGUGUAACGUAAGUCGCUUUGGAUAAAAGCGUCUGCUAAAUGACCUGUAAUGUAAUGUAAUGUAAAGCGAAACUAAAAGUUGCAAUAUCUUAUCAACCUGGUAGUUGAUUUCAUAAAAUCCCCUCUACAAUCCUCUUGUUCAUGUAAAGGUUUUUGGCCGACCUUUGACAGCCCAGUAAUUAUGAGCUUAUUCUUCUAAACUGAAAAGCAAAAGGACCAUUCAUCCUCUUUAUUCUAUAUAUAUCAUGGUAUUCAAGAAAGAUGCAUAAACCUAAUUAUCACUAAAUGAUGGCACUCAGGAUUAACUUUAUUCAACAGCGUGUGGGUGUGCUUCUUAAAGUGAGGAGGUAUAAAACCUUUGUCCAGCCUUAUUGGCUUCCACCGUUGCUCCCACAUCUUCUCACUGCUGUGACCUUUUUACUCCCAUAAAACCCUCACUGCUUCAACAGAGAUUUAUUACGCUUAUUUUAGCCGUUGUCGCUUUAAAGACUUUAAAUCUUCUUUUUCUUUCUUCAAUGCAUGUCUACAAUUCUACUAUUUUUAAAUCAAAACUGUAGUAAUAGCUUGGAGAGCUUAAAAAUGGCUCUGCAGCUGCAGGCUUUUGAUUGAGAAUCUGUCUCUCCCUCCUUUUCAAAUUCACUUACUGAAAGUCACUUUGGAUUAGAGCCUCAGCUGAAUGAAACAUGCAAUGCAUUGAUGUAAAGAAUGCCUCUGCAUAUCUUCAUCUGCCCCGAGUAUUUACCCAUUGUUUUAAAAAAAAUUGCCUUUCUCAAACGGCCUUGUUUCCAACCGAUUUGAUGAGCAAUUCAUUUAUAAAAAUUGAAAUCUCCGACAUAACUGAUUGUUGACCCCCAUAGUCAAAUCAGGAAAAAUUAACACCAGUAUUGCCUUAAUGUCCCCGUUCAAUGAUCUCUUUGAGUUUUUGCUUGUGGGUCUCACCCUCAUGGUGUUGUAUGACUGUUCCAUGUCUUCAUCAACUAAUUGACCAACCAAGUUUUCUUUGUUCAUUCUAACCUCGAAGUAAUAGAUCUGCUCAUACCAAGAUUACACAAAAAUAUUACCUCACAUUCUCGCCCUCAGUCAAUUUCUUCUCCUUUUACCUCCAGCCUGUUUAUGCUUCUCUCAUGAUGUGUGAUCGCCUUUAAAAACCCUGUGCAUUACUGCAUAACUCUUCAAACUCUUUUUCCAUCUCUACACUUCCACUUGCCCUUGGUCAUACUUUCAAACACCUGCAUGUGUCUCUCAUAACAUUUCGACUUUUUUUUUUUUCCCGUUUUGCUUACCUCCCCAUUCCUUUCCCAUCAAAAUAAACCAUCCGAUGGCCUCACUGAAGGCCUCCAUCAUUACAGUCAAUUUGCUGACCUUCGUAACUACUUUCACAAGUGGACGAGCAUUUGCAUUAUCAGUCACUAAACCCUACAGCUUCAAACAAUGUAUCAGAAUUUGAACCUCAAACUCCAGUGAUAUAAACAAAAAGUUCUCUAAACACUUGUGGGUCCUAAAACAACAAUGAAUAUUGUGUCCCUUGAGUCCCUUGAUCCCAAAAAGUACCAGCAGAUAAUACAUCAACUUAGCAUCAGACCCAUCUGUUCCAGACCUCCACUUCAGUGUUA